rnacentral:rRNA from 1 species
UACGUAGGCAGCAAGCGUUGUUCGGAGUUACUGGGCGUAAAGGGUGUGUAGGCGGUUUUCUAAGUUUGGUGUGAAAUCUCCCGGCUCAACUGGGAGGGUGCGCCGAAAACUGGGAAGCUAGAGUACUGGAUGGGAGAGUGGAAUUCCUGGUGUAGCGGUGAAAUGCGUAGAUAUCAGGAGGAACACCUGUGGUGUAGACGGCUCUCUGGACAGUAACUGACGCUGAGACACGAAAGCGUGGGUAGCAAACAGG